rnacentral:rRNA from 1 species
CCUACGGGUGGCUGCAGUGGGGAAUAUUGGACAAUGGGCGAAAGCCUGAUCCAGCCAUGCCGCGUGUGUGAAGAAGGCCUUCGGGUUGUAAAGCACUUUCAGUGGGGAAGAAAGCCUUGGGGCUAAUACCCUCGAGGAAGGACAUCACCCACAGAAGAAGCACCGGCUAACUCCGUGCCAGCAGCCGCGGUAAUAUGGAGGGUGCGAGCGUUAAUCGGAAUUACUGGGCGUAAAGCGCGCGUAGGCGGUCUGAUAAGCCGGUUGUGAAAGCCCCGGGCUCAACCUGGGAACGGCAUCCGGAACUGUCAGGCUAGAGUGCAGGAGAGGAAGGUAGAAUUCCCGGUGUAGCAGUGAAAUGCGUAGAGAUCGGGAGGAAUACCAGUGGCGAAGGCGGCCUUCUGGACUGACACUGACGCUGAGGUGCGAAAGCGUGGGUAGCAAACAGGAUUAGAUACCCUGGUAGUC